rnacentral:rRNA from 1 species
AUCUGUGGCCAUACCACCCUGACUGCGCCUGAUCUCGGAGGUUAAGCAGGGUUGGGCUGGGAGAGUCCUUGGACAGGACAGAAGUUCUCAAAAACGCAGUAC